rnacentral:rRNA from 1 species
CUUUAGUGCUGCAGCAAACGCAUUAAGCACUCCGCCUGGGGAGUACGGCCGCAAGGCUGAAACUCAAAGGAAUUGACGGGGGCCCGCACAAGCGGUGGAGCAUGUGGUUUAAUUCGAAGCAACGCGAAGAACCUUACCAGGUCUUGACAUCUCCUGACAAUCCUAGAGAUAGGACGUUCCCCUUCGGGGGACAGGAUGACAGGUGGUGCAUGGUUGUCGUCAGCUCGUGUCGUGAGAUGUUGGGUUAAGUCCCGCAACGAGCGCAACCCUUGAUCUUAGUUGCCAGCAUUUAGUUGGGCACUCUAAGGUGACUGCCGGUGACAAACCGGAGGAAGGUGGGGAUGACGUCAAAUCAUCAUGCCCCUUAUGACCUGGGCUACACACGUGCUACAAUGGAUGGUACAAAGGGCAGCAAAACCGCGAGGUCGAGCCAAUCCCAUAAAACCAUUCUCAGUUCGGAUUGUAGGCUGCAACUCGCCUACAUGAAGCUGGAUUCGCUAGUAA